AAUUUGUUUUAUUUUUGUUAUUAAUCUUAUUUAAUGUUUAUUUUACAUGUAAAUUUUUGUGAGAAUUGAUUUUUAUCUAAAAGAUAAAUAUUUUAAAAAUUAUUCGCAGUAAUUAAUAUUAUAAAUAAAAGUAAUUUUGAUUUAGUAAUAUAUUUUAGUAUUGGUAAAUUUUGUGCCAGCAACCGCGGUUAUACAAAUAAUGCAAAUAAGAUUUAUUAGUAAUAGUUAAUUUGUUUUUAAUAAAAUUAAUUUAAAUUUUUUAAGUGAAAUUUUAAAUUUAAUUAAUUUUAUAAUUUAUGUUGAUGAAGCUAAGAAAUUUUAAUUGUAAACUAGGAUUAGAUACCCUAUUAUUUAAAAAGUAAAUAUUAAUACUAGAGUAGUAAUAGAUAUGAUCUUCAAACUUAAAGAAUUUGGCGGUGUUUUAGUCUAUUUAGAGGAACCUGUCCUGUAAUCGAUAAUCCACGUUGGACCUUACUAAGAUUUGUAAUCAAUUUGUAUAUCGCCGUUAUCAGAAUAUCUUAAAAGAGAAAUAAUUUUCUUAAUUUAUAAAUAUAAUUGAUGUCAGGUCAAGGUGCAGUUUAUAUUUUAGUAGAGAUGGGUUACAAUAAAUUUAUUUAUACGUUAAAUUGUUUGAAAUAAUGAUUUUAAGGUGGAUUUAAAAGUAAAAUGAUGGAUAUAAUUUAUUUGAUUAUAGCUCUAAAACAUGCACACAUCGCCCGUCGCUCUCAUUAUUAAAAUGAGAUAAGUCGUAACAUAGUAGAAGUAUCGGAAGAUGCUUCUAGAAUGAC
rnacentral:ncRNA from 1 species